CUCUUCGGAGCUAGUGGCGGACGGGUGAGUAAUACAUAGGUAAUCUGCCUUUAAGUGGGGGACAACCAGCCGAAAGGUUGGCUAAUACCGCGUAAUGUUGUCGGUUGAGAUAUUGACAAAGAAAGAUUUAUCGCUUUUAGAGGAGCCUAUGGUUGAUUAGCUAGUUGGUGGGGUAAGAGCCUACCAAGGCGACGAUCAAUAGCUGGUCUGAGAGGACGAUCAGCACACUGGGACUGAGACACGGCCCAGACUUCUACGGAAGGCAGCAGUGGGGAAUUUUCCGCAAUGGGCGCAAGCCUGACGGAGCGACGCCGCGUAUGGGAUGAAGUAUUUCGGUAUGUAAACCAUUGUCAGUGGGGACGAAACAAAUGACGGUACCCACAGAGGAAGCAUCGGCUAACUACGUGCCAGCAGCCGCGGUAAUACGUAGGAUGCAAGCGUUGUUCGGAAUUACUGGGCGUAAAGAGUACGUAGGCGGUUCGUUAAGUCUGAUAUUAAAGACUGGAGCUUAACUUCAGGACUGUAUCAGAAACUGGCAAACUAGAGGACAAUAGAGGAAGUCGGAAUUCUCAGUGUAGCGGUGAAAUGCGUAGAUAUUGGGAAGAACACCAGUGGCGAAAGCGGACUUCUGGGUUGUUACUGACGCUGAGGUACGAAAGCGUGGGGAGCAAACGGGAUUAGAUACCCCGGUAGUCCACGCUGUAAACGAUGGAUACUAGGUGUAGCCGGUCUCGACCCCGGCUGUGCCGUAGCUAACGCAAUAAGUAUCCCGCCUGGGGAGUAUGGCCGCAAGGUUGAAACUC
rnacentral:rRNA from 1 species